rnacentral:rRNA from 1 species
AGGCUAAUCAAGCUCGGAGAUAGCUGGUUCUCCUCGAAAGCUAUUUAGGUAGCGCCUCAUGUAUCACUCUGGGGGGUAGAGCACUGUUUCGGCUAGGGGGUCAUCCCGACUUACCAAACCGAUGCAAACUCCGAAUACCCAGAAGUGCCGAGCAUGGGAGACACACGGCGGGUGCUAACGUCCGUCGUGAAAAGGGAAACAACCCAGACCGCCAGCUAAGGUCCCAAAGUUGUGGUUAAGUGGUAAACGAUGUGGGAAGGCUUAGACAGCUAGGAGGUUGGCUUAG